rnacentral:rRNA from 1 species
AACGAACGCUGGCGGCAUGCCUAACACAUGCAAGUCGAACGAUGCCUUCGGGCCUAGUGGCGCACGGGUGCGAAACGCGUGGGAAUCUGCCUUUCGGUUCGGAAUAACUCAGGGAAACUUGAGCUAAUACCGGAUAACGUCGCAAGACCAAAGAUUUAUCACCGAAAGAUGAGCCCGCGUAGGAUUAGCUAGUUGGUGAGGUAAAGGCUCACCAAGGCGACGAUCCUUAGCUGGUCUGAGAGGAUGAUCAGCCACACUGGGACUGAGACACGGCCCAGACUCCUACGGGAGGCAGCAGUGGGGAAUAUUGGACAAUGGGCGAAAGCCUGAUCCAGCAAUGCCGCGUGAGUGAUGAAGGCCUUAGGGUUGUAAAGCUCUUUUACCCGGGAAGAUAAUGACGGUACCGGGAGAAUAAGCCCCGGCUAACUCCGUG